CCCAGUUCAAUCCCAGUUCAGCCCAGUUCAAUCCCAGUUCAAUCCCAGUUCAUCCCAGUUCAAUCCCAGUUCAUCCCAGUUCAUCCCAGUUCAUCCCAGUCCAUCCCAGUUCAUUCCCAGUUCAUCCCAGUUCAAUCCCAGUCCAUCCCAGUCCAUCCCAGUUCAAUCCCAGUCUCACCCCGAGGGCGUGGCCCGUCGCUGGCCCCGCCCCCUCCGGGAAGAGCCAAUCCAGCGCGUCCAGCACAGCGGGGGAGGGGCCGAGUUCCCGCAGCAGUGACGUCACCACCUGUGGGGGGAGGGGCGGGGCCAGGCUGGGGGGCGUGGCCUAGAGAUUCCCUUGCCCAUAUAAGGAAAUGGGGGUGGGGUUUACAUUGGUGGGCGUGGUCUGAAGGUUUCUAUGCCCAUAUAAGGAAAUGGGGGCGGGGUUUAGUGGAGUG
rnacentral:lncRNA from 1 species